rnacentral:rRNA from 1 species
CAGUCGCCACGGUAAUACGAAGGGUGCAAGCGUUAAUCGGAAUUACUGGGCGUAAAGCGCGCGUAGGUGGUUUGGUAAGAUGGAUGUGAAAUCCCCGGGCUCAACCUGGGAACUGCAUCCAUAACUGCCUGACUAGAGUACGGUAGAGGGUGGUGGAAUUUCCUGUGUAGCGGUGAAAUGCGUAGAUAUAGGAAGGAACACCAGUGGCGAAGGCGACCACCUGGACUGAUACUGACACUGAGGUGCGAAAGCGUGGGGAGCAAACAGGAUUAGAUACCCCUGUAGUCCCUGUCUUUAUACA